rnacentral:lncRNA from 1 species
CUGCUGCCUAGCUCAGCACUACUCAUAUCUUUCAAGGAUGAUGAUUUACUACUUAUCCUCCUUGCUGACUAGACUGGCUGAGCAUGUGGGUCAAGAGAAUUGAGGAUUACCCAUUCAAAGCAAAAAUCCUGGAAGUUUCCUUAAAUGCACCUUCGCUUUUAUUGAUUAUAUAUGCUUACUGGGUUGAUAUUAAGGUCGGAGACUAAACAAAACUCCAAAACAAUAAUGAAAGAGAGAAAGAAGCUACAAAGUGACUUUGAUCAGAACAGACACAGAAGCCCAUUCAGUACCAGGCAAAUCUUAAGUCAUUGAAGAGUUUGUUUGUUUAUUUGUUUGUUUGUUAAAUGUAUUUGCUGCCUAUCUUGCUGUGGGUCUAUUCUAGGUGGCUUUACAACAAUAAAAAGGAAGAAAUGAAAAGAGUGUAAACA